UACGUAGGUGGCAAGCGUUGUCCGGAUUUACUGGGCGUAAAGGGCGUGCAGGCGGUCUGUUAAGUCUAGGGUGAAAGCUCCCGGCUCAACUGGGAGAGGUCCUUGGAUACUGGCGGACUUGAGGGAGGCAGAGGAAAGUGGAAUUCCCGGUGUAGUGGUGAUAUGCGUAGAUAUCGGGAGGAACACCAGUGGCGAAGGCGGCUUUCUGGGCCUUACCUGACGCUGAGACGCGAAAGCGUGGGGAGCAAACAGG
rnacentral:rRNA from 1 species